AGUUAAUGAACUUGAACAAGUGAUUGUUUUGAAAACAAUAAAUAGACUUAUAAAUUAAUUCUAUUAACUU
rnacentral:tRNA from 1 species